GAUCUCGUAGUGUAGUGGUAGCACACCCAGCGCAGAACAGAAUGCCGCUUCACAUCGGUUCGCCCCGAUCGUUGAAGCGGGCCGCCCAUUCUCCGGGUUGCCCCCGUGGCUGUGGAGGCCUGCGUUCGAAUCGCAGCGAGAUCA